UGGGGAAUUUUGGACAAUGGGGGAAACCCUGAUCCAGCCAUCCCGCGUGUGCGAUGAAGGCCUUCGGGUUGUAAAGCACUUUUUGGCAGGAAAGAAACGAUCGCGGGUUAAUACCCCGCGAAACUGACGGUACCUGCAGAAUAAGCACCGGCUAACUACGUGCCAGCAGCCGCGGUAAUACGUAGGGUGCAAGCGUUAAUCGGAAUUACUGGGCGUAAAGCGUGCGCAGGCGGUUCGGAAAGAAAGAUGUGAAAUCCCAGAGCUUAACUUUGGAACUGCAUUUUUAACUACCGGGCUAGAGUGUGUCAGAGGGAGGUGGAAUUCCGCGUGUAGCAGUGAAAUGCGUAGAUAUGCGGAGGAACACCGAUGGCGAAGGCAGCCUCCUGGGAUAACACUGACGCUCAUGCACGAAAGCGUGGGGAGCAAACAGGAUUAGAUACCCUGGUAGUCCACGCCCUAAACGAUGUCAACUAGCUGUUGGGGCCUUCGGGCCUUGGUAGCGCAGCUAACGCGUGAAGUUGACCGCCUGGGGAGUACGGUCGCAAGAUUAAAACUCAAAUGAAUUGACGGGGUCAUAGCUGUUUCCU
rnacentral:rRNA from 1 species